CUGGGCGUGGUGAAUUUUUAAGUGCUUCACAACAAGAUUGUGCGCAUUGCUUCUGGACAUUAACCCGUCAGACUUCCUGUCCAGCAUCCUGUCACUAACAAGUCCUCCGCUGGCUCUACCUGGAGCUUGAGGAAAUGACAGAGUCUGGCGUGGACUUCAAAGCUUUGCAAAACAGAAGCACCGGGUUCUUCAACAAGCUAGGAUCUGCUUUACUGAACAAAGUCCCCGAUCUGGUUUCUUGUGGGAGAGACAAGAAGAGGUGACAAGUGGUGGGUUAGAAAAAUUUAAUCUUGAAGCCAGACUCUUUUGGUUCAAAAUUUUCCACUAUUUACGAAGAGAGCAAAGCACAUUUCUUAACUCUCCAUCCACUUGGGUAAGCUGAAGGUGGUGAGGACAAGUACAUAACUUGUGAAUUUGGUGUGAGUUUAGUUCCCAGUAGACUAAGUACAGUGAGUGCCUCAUGUUGUACUGUAUGACCCACACACGCUGCUCAGCUGAAAAUGAGCCCUGGGUGAGUUCAGAAUAGGCGCUUAGGGAACAAGUUCAAUAGGACUAUUCUGCAAAGAGCUUGGAGGCAUAUAUGUACCUACUUAAAACAGGAAGCAAGUAAGCUCCUAUUCCCUUGGCCUCCCUCUUCAACCCCUCCACUUUGCCCCUCCUUCCAGAAGCCUGAUUUAUAUAGUCUCACACAUGGUACCCAAAUGUUGCUCCUUAGUUUCCCUAGUAGUAUGGGGGUGGGGGGGCACUCCCAGCACAGAGCUGCCAGUACUCCUGAGCAGUCUGUCUGGUUUGCCCCCAAGACUUGAGUAAAGGCAUCUGCCCUUCCCCAAGCAUUCGGAGAACACAGCCUUGUUCCUGCUGUGGCUAUGGUGGGAGCAGAAUGGGAAAGUGCCCUCCCAGUGGGGAACCUCCCCUCACUUGUGGCCUCUAUUUUUAGUGCUUCCCCAGGCUCUAGCUGGAGAAACCGUUUAGUCAUCAGGGUGUUUAUUUUUCCGGCUGUUUCCGACGUCGGGAAAAGCAGAAUGUUGAGACUGGAGAGACUCAGGGCUGUUGUAAAAGACGUCUUAGGAACAGGCCUGGGAACAGAGCCUUCAGGCCACAGGGUCCCAGCUUGUAGGAAAACAAAACAGGAUGGGCCCGGGACAGCUAAGCCCUCAGGAGUUUUCAACCUGCCUCAACCUUGGAGGCUAUCCAAGCUACAGAACCCUCUGGCACAACUCAGUUUCAAGAUUGUUUCUCAAAACAUAACCAAGGCCAGAAGAAAUUCUUUCCCAGAAUCCCCCUCCCCAACCUCUCCCUGACCAACUUGGUGAGCCUCCAGCGAACCACAAUCCCAGCCAAUCUCAAAUAUGAGGUGGGCAGUCCAGAGCUAUGAUUGGUUGGCUGGCCCUCCUAGACCUGGAAUGUUGAGUCCUUAAAAAAGGAAUGAGGAAGGAAGGUGAGUCACCUGGGGAAGGUAUUAAAGGACUAGCAAGAAGGAAAAGCCAAGACCUCUAGGGAGGUGGGGGCCCUGGACAAUUACUGCUGUCUCGACAACUCACAGGAGACCAGAGUAGGGGGCAGUAACACUACAAGUGGGACACAAUUCAGACUCUGAAAAAACGUCUGAGAGAGAAAAGGUAACAAUCGUGAGGUCUUGAUUUCCACGAAAGGCUGAAAAGGGCCAAGGUAAUGUUGGAAGUUAGAUGAAAAAUGAACUUCCUGAAAGUGACUCUUUUUUCUUCUGGCCCUUGGACUUCCAUCCCAGAAUCCUCUCGGUCUCACAUUUCCUCUCCUACCUCUAUGUGCACCAUCUCUUAUUAAUCAAUUUAUUGUGUUUGUUAGCAUACCAUGCUGCAUGUUUAGAGGUCAGAGGACAAUUCUAUGGAGUGGAUCUUUCACCUUUCCAUUGGUUUCAGGCUAAAACUCCCGUUGCCAGUCUUGCACGGCAAGACAAGACAUGACAGCCAUUUCGCCCAUCUGUUCUAAAGAAAAGUUACCUUCCAGCCCUGCUGUAAAAUCUCCCGUGGGCCGAGACACUUUGAUGCCCACCGUCGUCCUAAAAAGAACAUCGUGUAAACUCACCUGCAGCGUCAUCUUCACAAGGCUAUCUGGUAAACAAAACUUAACCCUCUUUUACCCGCCCCUUCUCAAGCUUCUCCAAUUCACCUGUACUUGAAAAGGUGUUUCCCGCAGGUCCUCAUCCCUCUCAGCACCCUCUUCUACCUGGCAGUACUUACUCAAACUAGGAAAAGUGCUCCUGCCUUCCCCCUCUAGUCUGGUGAGCUGCUUGGCAGGCCCUCACCUUCCCUUCCCCUGCGCCAUCUGGACAGUUCUCAAUCCCCACCUCCACCCGCAGCUCCGCCACCGAGUCAUCCUUCUUCCUCCAGUUUUUGGAUGAUCACAACAAAGACCCCCAAUCCCUCCCCGCAUCGGCCACCACUCUUGCGAACUGGACCCUCAGCAGGUGGGCGUGUAUUUUCUCCGAGUGAAGGUGGGACGCUCCACUCUGCCCUUGUCUCCUCAGGACGCACUAGCUUGCUGGGUUUGUUUGGUUCCUAAGGUACUCUCCUCACCAGCUCCUGAGUAACUGCGGGGAUGCAAAGCUGGCGAGGAACGCGCUUAGCAAAUGUAUUCGCGCAGCCGUGUGGCUCCUGCCUCCACCCCCUCCGGGUCACGUGCUCUCAGCUUGGGCACCGACGGACUAUUUCUCAUUUUCCGCGGAAGGACAUACCAAACUCGUCUCCGUGGACUUAAGUUGUACCACGCCAUUUUCUUGUCCCUGUCCCCAGCCUAGGGCAGAAAGUUUGCCCAGGACACAUUUCUGUAAAGCGCGAAUUUACUAGAGAGAGGCCCCUUUAAAUGCAAAUGAAUCGCCUUCUUGCUCCGCUCCCCCCCACCCCCAUCCCAACUUCUCUCCUCGUGCCCAAACUCCACCAGCUGCUAUUGACGUCAAGCGUGCGUCAGCAUCGCCAGCCCAACCAGACAGCACGUGGGGGGAAGAAAGCAAUCUUAAAGGGCCAGUAGCUCAGGGCCUGUUAGGUUACCGGAGAAAGGAAAAACGAAGUGAGAUGUUAGAAACUAUAGGAACAGGAAGAAUUACAGGGAAAACAUUCAGAAGGACUGCAUAAGGCCGGCGAAGUGGCUCAGCGAAUGAAUAAAGGUGCUUCUGUACAAGGCCGAGAAUCAACUUCCCAGAGUUAUCCUCUGAGCUUCCAACAUUUCUCCCCAGCACACGUACAAUACUAAUAAAUAUUUUUUUAAUUUUUCUGAGAAAAUAGGAGAGCAUAUUCCUAUCCUUUUGUUUGUUUUGCUUUUCAAGACAGAGUUUCUCUGUAACCCUAGUUGUUCUGGAACUCACUCUUUAGAUCGUGCUGGCCUGGAGCUAAGAGAUUUGCCUGCUUCUGCUGGGGUUAAAAGCAUGUGCCACCGCCGCCCAGUGGCGCUUUUUGUUCUUUCUUUCUUUUACUUUCUAUUGUGUUUGUGGUGAUCAGAGGACAACUUGCAGUAGUAGUUGGUUCUCUCCACCUUGUGGGUUCUGGGGCUCGAACUCAAGUCAUUGGGCUGUUUGGAGCUGCCGGGCUCUUUACAGCUGAGCCUCCGCGGCCCCUUUUAAAUCUCUCUCUCUCCCCCUAUCUUUCCUUCCUGUCUUCUUCCCCUGUAGGGCUUGAACCUCACACAUGCUAAGGACACAUUCUACCACUGAGCCACAAUCUCCAGCUCAAGAGAGAGAGUCCUAAACUAGGCUUUGCCUUUAGAUUCCCAGACAUUUGGUUUUAUUUAUCUGGGAAAGAAACCCUGGAUCUGGAGCAGCAGGUUAGGUUUAAAGGCAAAGGAGACAGGAGUUCUAGCUGGAUAAAAGCAUUAGACAGAGGCUGGUGGAUCUCAGAGUUCCAGGCCAGCUUGGUCUAUAUAGUGAGUUCCAGGACAGACAGAGCCACAUAGUUGAGACCUUGUCUCUAAGAUCAUGAAUUCAGUCUUUUCCCUCACCCAACUCAGUGUGUCUAUCCACAACUGUUGUGCCUCCAUCUUUUGUACAGAACAGAGAGGUUACCCAGUUAAGUAUUUGUAGAACGGGAGAGUUGAGCCCCGUGCAAGCUCACCUUUUUCAAGACCCUCUCCUACUUUGCACACACUCAGACAAUCUUGCUUUUGGAGCACAUACAGCAUUUUUUGAGCAGCUCUUGUCUUCCUCUCUUAGCGCCAUGGGCAGACAGGUCCCAGUUCUGGUUCUUCUGUUAUUAGUUGGCUGACCUUGGACAGUGUUACUUGCUGUGAGCAUUGAAUAGGGCAAUUUCAGGGGCACUUUUUGUUUGUUUACUUGACACAGUCUUAUGGUGUGGCCCUGUGGCAUGAAAAUCCCCCUGCUUCUGCCUUCAGAGUGCUAGGUUUAAAGUGUAUGCCACCAUGCUCAGAUAAGCUCUCUCUUUUUUUAAAUUGUGUUAUUUACUCUGUGUGUGAGGGUGUGUGUACACUCAUGUCACUCUCACCUGUAGAAGUCAGAUGAAACCUGUGGGAGUUCAAACUCAGGUCAUCAGGUUUAAGUGCAAGCACCUUUUACCCAAAAAGUCAUCUCAAACAACCCCUUUUAAAAGUAUUGUUAAUGUACGUGCACAUAUACAACAGUGCAGGUAGGAAAGUCAGAGGGCAGGUCACCAAGCUCGCCAGCCCUCUGUGAAGUUGCUUGGGACAAACAGGAGUACUGCAGGGUAUUGUGGGGUUUUCAGUCUUUCUUAGGACAGACUCUUACUGCGCAGUACAGCCUGGUCUUACACUGUAGAUCCUCUCUGCCUCUGGAGUACUAGGAUUGAAGCCUGGCUAGGGGUGAGGUCUUUUUUGUUUGUUUGUUUUGUUUUUGUUUGUUUAUUUUUUGAAACAUUUUCUUUUUGUUUGUUUAUUUUAGAUCUAUUUAUUUAUUAUGUACACAGUACAUGAUACUAUGUAUUAUGCAUGCCAGAAAAGGCAUCAGAUCCCAUUACAGAUGGUUGUGAGCCACUAUGUGGUUGCUGAGAUUUGAACUCAGGACCUCUGAAAGAGCAGUCAGUGAUCUUAAUCACUGAGCCAUCUCUCCAGCCCCUUUUCUUCUUUUUCUUUACAUUCACUUUGUUUUGAUUGCCCCCAUUCCACCUGUCUCCCCUUAGACAGUUCCUCCCCCAAUCCUUCCUCUGAGAGGGUGGAGGCCCCCUCUGGUAGGGAUGAGUCCUAAAAAGAUCCUCUCCCCUACUAAACUUCAAGCUUCUCAAGAGUAAGGCUAUAACAUUUAUUUCCAGCACCUAAUUGGGCUCAUUGCCAGCGCUUUAAAAAUGUGUGUGUUGAGAGUGAGCUAGGGCUCAGUGGGUACAGGCACAGGUAGAAUCAGGGUUCCAUCCCCAGGCCAUGUGGACAUGGUGGAAGGAAAGAAUUGAUCCCUAAAAACUGUCCUCUGACCUUCCCCACAAGUGCUGCUUGGUGUGUGCACACAUACACACACAAACAAGUAACUGUAAUAGAAAGACAUUUUAAUGUUUGUUGAGGGCUCAGUGGUUGGGAGGGCUCAGUGCUCUUGAAGAAGACCCUAGUUUAGCUCUGAGAACCCACUACACAACAACUUGUAGCUCCAUCUCCAGGGGAUCUGGAGCCUGCUCCUCUGGGGCCCAUAUAUGUGUGACAUACAAGUCAUACAAAUACACGCACAUAUAUGAAAAGAAAAGUAAACCAUGGGGCUAGGGAGAUGUUCAAAUACACUUGCUGCAGGGCUGAAAUCCCUAGUGGUGGGAUAGAGUAGCAGUGGCCAGAGGAGCAAGUUUUUAAUUCCCUCACUCCCGACCCCUGCGCCUCUGCACUCAGAAGGCAGAGGCAGACAGAUCUGAGUUCAAGGCUAGUCUGGUCUACAGAGCUAGUUCCAGAACAGUCAGGGCUACACAGAGAAACCCUGUCUCAGAAAGAAAGAAAGAGAGAGGGAGAGGGGGCGGGAGGGAGGGAGAGAGAGGGGGGGGAAGAGAAGAGGAGAGGAGAGAAAACACUUGCUGUCUUACAGGAACCUGAGUUCAUUUCCUAGCACCCACAUCGGGUAACCUAUGUACAUAUUGCCCACACACAGACAUAUAGAUCCACAUAACUAAAAUUUCUUUUUAAAGAAUUAGUCUAGGUGUGAUGGUGCUCACCUGUAAUACUAGUACCCAGGAGGAUCAAGCAUUCAGUCAUUGUGGAUGUUUGAAUGAGAAUGACUAUAUAGGCUUAUAGGUUUGAAUGCUUGGUCCCCAGUUAGUGGAACUGUUUGGGAAGGAUUAGGAGGUAUGGCUUUGUUGAUGUAGAUGUUGCUUUGUUGGAGGAUGUUGCCCAGUCUUCCAGGUUCUCUCCCUCUCCCUCUCCCUCUCCCUCUCCCUCUCCCUCUCCCUCUCCCUCUCCCUCUCCCCCUCCCCCUCCCUCUCCCCCUCCUCUUCCCCUCCCCCCCCUCUCUGCCUCCAUCUCAUAUAUCUGGAUGUAAGCUCUCACCUACUUUUCCUUCACCAGGGCUGCCUGCUUCCACACUUCCUGUCAUGAUGAUAAUGAACCUUCUGAAACUGUAAGCAAGCAGUUAAAUGAUUUCUCCUGCAAUAGAACAGUGACUAAGAUGGCCAUCCUUGGACUGUAUAAAGAGUUGGAAGCCAGCCUGGGCUACAUGAGAUUCCAUUUAAAACAAAACAACGCACACAUCCACACCUUGUUAAGUGAAUAAAAAUGAAAUCGUUAAUGAUUUUAGCAUCUCCCAAAUCUGAACUAUCUCACCCUGAAAUUAUCUGGAGAGGGUGAGUUGUAGGACCUUCUUCUCCCAGGUUCUGUAUGCCAGGUUUUAACCCUUGAGAUGAGGUUCAGCUCUGUAGCUAAAAAGUGCUUCUUCAGCUGCCAACUUCUCUUGAAACAUGGGCAGCCUGCACCUGCUUCCUGCCAGGGCACUUGCAACCCUCAGACUCAAGCUAUAGCUCGAAAUGGCCUGAAUCUGCAAUCUGACUUCAGCCUAGAGUAUAACACAGAUGUAUAAUACAAUGUCCAGUGCACAGACUUCUUGGCCAGAUACUAACUCAACUUAGGCGUUCUCUUCUUUAUAGCGUCACUGCUGCUACCCCCACCCUCCACCCCUAGUCCCAGCUGCCACUCCUCUUUCUCUCUGCCUCUGCUCACACCUUAACCUUCAUUCCCCCUGGGGAGGGCACAGUGCCUGCUGUCACCUGAUUCUGGCUUCUUGUGCUCAGAGACCACCUAGUCCUUGUUCCUCCUGUCUUGUAGCUGCUUAUCAAUCUGCUUGUCAAUUUCUGUUACCCCCCUCCCAGGUUGAAGGCCUGACAGGCACCAGAGGGCACUUCCUGCCUGGGAAUAACUGUGAUCAGCCAGCAGGGGCACCAACUCAUGCUUGAAGAGGAGGCAUGAAGAGAGCUAAGACUCUUCCCUGGCUCUGAGCAGUCCUAGCAGCCAGCCCAUGGAGCCCAAAGACUGUAGUGGGUUUCCCCACAGGAAUCUCCCAGAAGUCUUUGUGCUGACUCCUCCCUCUAUAGAGGUUGGGUGACACCAAGAGCCUUGUGUUCCAGAAAACCUCAAAAUAACCUAUCUUCACUGUCCGGCUGCUAUUUCUGUCCACUCUGUUUAAUUAUUCAAACCCAAGUUGGGGAGUGAGCUAUAUAAAGCCCUUCUACUUGGGGACCCAGGAGAGCUGGGAGAUGUGCCAGGUUGCAACAGCAUCAGGCAAUGGGUUUUGGUGAGAUCACUUGGCCCAGGACUGGAAGUACCUUCUGCUGUCUACUGUCUGCUGGCCUCCUCAUCCAGAAGGCAGCUUGCAGGCUGUCCACUCCAGUGCACUCCUCCAGCCUGCUGGGAGCUAUUUGUGCCCUGCUCCUGCAUAUCCCUCCAGUCUGUCUAGUCUCAUCUGGCUCUGUGUUAACCUCUCAGUCCAGCAGCAGCUGCUGCUGCUUCUUUCUUCUUCUUCUUCUUCUUCUUCUUCUUCUUCUUCUUCUUCUUCUUCUUCUUCUUCUUCUUCUUCUUCUUCUUCUUCUUCCUCUUCCUCUUCCUCUUCCUCUUCCUCUUCCUCCUCCUCCUUCUGCACUCCUUUCUUCCUCCUCCUCUUCUUCUUGUUCCUCUUCCUCUUAUUCUUGUCCUUCUUCUUCUUUGUUUGGUUUUUGUUUGUUUGUUUGUUUGUUUUUUGAGACAUUGUUUCUCUGUAUAGCCCUGGCUAUCCUGGAACUUACUCUGUAGACCAGACUGGCACAGAGAUCCACCAGCCUCCCAAGUGCUGGGAUUAAGGGCAUGUACCACCACCACCCAUCACUUUCCAACUUUUUUUAAAAGACUUAUUUAUUUACUAUAUAUAAGUACACUGUAGUUGUCUUCAGACACACCAGAAGAGGGCAUCAGAUCCCAUUACAGAUGGUUGUGAGCCACCAUGUGGUUGCUGGAAUUUAAACUCAUGACCUCUGGAAGAGCAGUCAGUGCUCUUAACAGCUGAGCCACCUCUCCAGCCCCCUACUUUCUAACUUCUUAUAUAUUUGGUUGUGAGCCUAGCCUUUCACAGCUGAACCAUCUCUCCAGCCCUACUUUCCAACUCUUAACCCACAAAAAAAAAAAAAAAAAAUUGUCAAACUCAGCAUCUGUGACCCAGGACAGCUGAGUGGCAGAGGACAGUCGGGUGGACCCAGACAGGCACCAUGCCUUUGGAGGGUACUUGCUGUUUGCUGUCGGUGGAGUGAUGGUCUGGGUGGAGUGGUUUUGGCUCGCAUAGACACUGAGUCUCUCAGGCCUCUUGGGAACUCUGUCCACAUAAGGGAAGCAAAGUAAGGGUACAAGAUUUUCUAUUUCAGGCCCAGUCUUUGUCUGCCUGGCCCUAAGGCCACUGUAGUUUCUCUGGAAACCCAGUUGAGACAGAAACAUUGCUCUUAAGGCAUGACCCUCCCAAUAUGAGCUAUGUCGGAAGAUAGCCCAGUUCAUACCUAUGCCUUUUGGGACCAUGUUCCCACAUACUGACUACUAGUGGGCAUACUGACAGUGAGUGCCCACUAGUCUGUAGCUUGGCAGGUCCCACAGAGUCCAUCGAGGUCCUUCCUAUAGCAUCACCCCUGGAGUUUCCAGGAUACUGCUGCAGGAUGGAGAGGAGGCAUAGUUACCAAGCAACAGAAGGGAUGUAGGAGGGGUCCUGGCACCGAUGGAGGUUGAGGAGCCUGGAAAGAGCUGAGUGGGCCAAGUUUAUAGCUCUCUCUUGCUUCCUCAUAGCUCAGAGCAAGGAUGACCACAGACCAGCAAACACUGAGGAAGAAGUAUGUGAGCCUUCCCAAGUUAUCUGCACUGGACCAGAGACGAGCAGGGCCCAUCAGCUAGAGGGCCCCAUGGAAUCAGUAUUGUUCUUCCUCCCCUGGCCCUCACUCAAGUGACGGUGUCUAUGGCAGGAUUUAUGCCAGUCUCUCCCUUUUUUUUUUUUUUUUUUUUUUUUUUUUUUUUUUUUUCCGGAGCUGGGGACCGAACCCAGGGCCUUGCGCUUGCUAGGUAAGCGCACUACCACUGAGCUAAAUCCCCAACCCCCAGUCUCUCCCUUUUGAUGCAGGGCUAGCAACACUCUCCUGCUGUUCUUUGCAGGCUCCAUCUCUCCUGAUGGAGUCAACAGGCCUUCACGGAAUCGACCCACUGGUCAAAGUAUGGGAGACCCUCGAGGGGGUACUGGGGACUCAUACCCAGCUGGCUGGCACCUCAGCAGGUUUGUUAUGACAGUGAGUGCCCACAUGUGGUACCUGCUGGCCACCAGUCUUCUGUCAUCCAUCCUGGUAUGGCCUCUGCCUCCUACGGCCCCCCCCCCAAGAGGACAUGAAAGCUGAAGUCCUGGCCUCACGUGCUCCAGACCCAAGCCAGGGCUGACUGCUGACAAGACAUGAGGCAGUGAGAGAGCAUUUUAUGAAGAGAAGAAACUGAGGACAAAAAGGCACUGCUUUGUACUAUCACACUGUCCACAAAGGCUUGGCGGCCCCUCGGACAAGGAUGCUCGAAGAUCAUAGAAGCCAAUGGGUUCUAUCAUGUUGCAACAAGUCACUGUGGAACUGGCUGGCUCCUCAUGCCUAAAACCUUAGCUUUCCCAAGUGUCUUCGUUUGAAUAUGUUUGGCCCAGGGCGUGGCAUUCUUUGGAGGUGUGGCCUUGUCGGAGUGGGUGUGUCACUGUGGGUGUGGGCUUUAAGACCCUCACCCAAGCUGCCUGGAAGUCACUAUUCUACUAACAGCCUUCAGAUGAAGAUGUAGAACUCUCAGUUCCUCCUGCACCAUACCUGCCUCCUGGAUGCUGCCAUAUUCCUUGAUGAUCAUGGACUGAAUCUCUAAACCUGUAAGCCAGCCCCAAUUAAAUGUCGUCCUUACAAGAGUUGCCUUGGACUUGGUGUCUCUGCACAGUAGUAAAACCCUAACUGAGACACAGGCUGGACAAGAGGACUGCAGAGAGGUCAAAGUUGGUGAGACUCUGUUUUCUCAGAAAAUAAAAUGGAACAAAACUCAAAAAGUAGCUGUGGCCUAGGAAGCGCAAGGCCCUGGGAUCGGUCCCCAGCUCCAAAAAAAAAAGAACCAAAAAAAAAAAAAAAAGUAGCUGUGGGAUUCCAAUUCAGGACCUCACGUGCCCAGACAAGCAUAAAGGGUACAGGGGAAAAAACAACUCGGCUCUCACCACCGCCAAGGAAGAGAGUGGGUGCUCACAGGUGUGUACAGAGGAUAUGCUGGAGAAGCACGGAAGCACUUACAACAGACCUUACAAGCACACGAUGAAGGUGCCCAUGAGAAAAGAGCAAGAGGUGAGGAGCGCUUGCUGAUCCUCCAGAUGACUGCACUAGCUCAGUUCCCAGGACCCAGGUCACAUGUGGUGGUUUGAAUGAGAAUGUCCCCCAUAGACUCAUAUUGGAAAGCUGGUAAAACUGUUUGGGAGGGAAUAGGAAGUGUGGCCUUGCUGGAGGAGGUGUGUGACUGGAGAUGGUUUCAAAAGCCCAUACCAGGCCCACACUCCCAGGUGGUUGCUCUCUCUCUCUGUCUCUCUCUGUCUCUGUCUCUAUCUCUGUCUCUCUCUCUCUCUCUCUCUCUCUCUCUCUCUCUCUCACACACACACACACACACACACACACACACACAUCAUUGAACCAUCAGGUGACUCAAAAUUGCCUGGGACUCCAGGUCCAAAGGAUCCAAUCCUUCUAACCUCUGGGGACAAAUACACACACACACACACACACACACACACACGCGCGCGCACAAAUAUAUGUUGUAUCUAUAAACUGUAUCUAUAAUUUUAAAUUGUAUUUUAUGUCUAUCGUGUAUGCCUUCGUGUGUGUUUUGUACAAUACGUGUGUGCAGGAGUCCACAGAGGUCAGAAGAGGCUUCAGAUCUCCGUCUUUGUAUUUGCAGGUAGUUGCUUGUUACCUCGUGGGCGCUGGGAACCAAACCCAGGUCCUCUGCAAGAGCAGCCAGUGCUCUUAACUGAUGAGCCAUCUCUUUGGGCCCUAAAUAAUAAAUCUUAAAACAAGAAAUAAAGAAUGCACACACAUCCACAAAACCUCCAGUCUGAUCACAUGGGCCUCUCGGAAUUGCUCAUAUAAGAAGGUUGGGUUAGACCCUUUCGGGAUCCAGUCCCAGCACCAUCAUUUCUAGUGUGAGCAUGGGUGAAUCACUGAGCCACGGCUUCUCUAGUGCUAUGUAAGGAGAGUUACUCAUAAAGGGCUGCAAAAACGACAGCAAAUAAUGUAAACACUGUGGAAUGCCCACUGUUGCCUGGAAACGCCCGGCGAUACUUCUGCUCACAGCUCCAGCAGAAGUCAUGUCACUAAAGUCAGAUUCAAGAGACAGGCAGACCUCUUCAUGGAGUGCCUCGGUGGGAGGCAAGGGACACAAUACGGGGUCGUGUUUGGGGCAAGAUUUCCCAAGGUGGCCUCAGCUAGCCUCAGCUGCAGGAGCAGAUGGACGCUGGUGACAGAGGGCGAAAAUGAAACUCCCAGCUCCGCUCUUUCUGCUUCUCUAAGGCAGAUGUUGAGAAAACUCAGAGAAACCAAAAGUUCUAGAUAUGAGAAUGAAAUCUGCAGCCACAUUAGCCCCAUGACUUCCUGGCCCCGCCCUGUGCAGUUCACCAUGUACCAUGAGGGAACCUGCCCAAGUAGCCACGUUGGCAAGUUCUGGCCUCUUUUCCCCUCCCCUCCUCUCCUUCUCUACCUUUCUCUCUUCUACCUUUCUCCUGUCUCUCUCUUUUAUUUUCCCCCUCCCUUCUCCCUUUCUGUCCACUCUCUUGAGAUUUUCUUUCCUGUGUGUGUAUGUGUGUGUGUGUGUGUGUGUGUGUGUGUGUGUGUGUGUGUGUGUGGUGCUGGGAACAGAACUCAGAGUCUUGUGUGUGCUAAUCAAAUGCCUUAGCACUGAGCUAUAUCUCUCUAGUGGUUUUGUUUGCUUGUUUGCUUGAUUGCUUUUUGAGACAGGGUUUCUCUGUAUAGCCAUAGCUGUCCUGGAACUUGCUCUGUAGGCCAGGCUGGCCUAGAACUCAAGAGAUCCAGAUUCAUCUGCCUCUGCCUCCUGAGUGUUGGGAUUAAAGGCCUGCACUACCUCCACCUGACAAAAAUGUAGCGAGGUGAUGGUGGCACACACCUUUCAUUCUAGCACUCAGGAGACAAAGUCAGGAGGAGCUCUGAGUUUGAGGCCAGCCUGGUCUACAGAGUUUCAGGACAGCCAGAGUUGCACAGAGAAAGCCUGUGUCAAAAAAAGACCAAAGAGAAAAACCAUCUAUUUAGUGCUAGGAAUAGUGGCACCGCACGUCUUUAACUCCAGCACCCAUGAGGCAGAGGCAGGAGGUUUCUGUGAGUUUGAGACCAGUUUGUUCUGUAUAGUGAGUUCUAAUACAACAAUAGCUACAUAGAGAGCCUAUCUCAAAAAAUACUUUUUUUAAUUUAGUUGUCUGUGUAUGUGCGUUUUGUCCUCAUGUAUGUCUGUGUACUACAUAAGGGUCUGGUGCCCAGAGGCCAGAAGAUGGCAUCAGAUUCCCUGAGGCUGGAGAUACAGGGAGUUCUCAGCUGUCACAUGGGUCCUGAAAGUCAAACCCGGGCUCUCUGGAGGAGAAAACAGUUCUCUAAUAGCUGAGGCAUCUCUCCAGACCCUUGCUUUGUGUUUUGGUUUUGUUUGGAGACAGCAUGUCAUCUUACCGGCAGGCUGGCAUGGCGCUUCUGAUCCUGCGCUCCAGCCCCCUUUUCCAGGGGCCUGACUUACAGGGCUGCUCCACCAGGCCUAGCUUCUAUUUUAUUUUAACAUCUUUACUUUUAUUUUAUUUUAUUUUUUUCUGCAUAUAUUUAUGUGCAUCACAUGCACAUGCAGUGCCCAGGAAGGCCAGAAGAGGGUGAUGGAUCCUCUGGAACUGGAGUUACAGAGGGGCAGGAAUUGAACCCUGGUCCUCUGCAGGAGCAGUUGAUAUUCUUAGCUUCUAGCAUUACUAACGCUCUAGUGUUCUUAACGUCUCUCCAGCCCUCACUGUUGCUUUUUGAUGACCCCAUUAGCCUGUUUUCUGUUGCCAAUUAACACAAUACCAAAGGGCUGGAGUGACUUAGCCCUGUAAGCCCAGCACCGAGGAAACUGAGGCAGGGCAGAGAGUGAGUUUAAAGCCAGCUUGAGCCUCAUAGUGAGAACUUGUCAACAACAAACAAAAUGGUGAGACAAUACCACAGGAUUAUGAUUUAUAAACAGUACCAGCCCUGUUUAUUUUCGACUCACAGUGUUUGACAUCUUAGCCACACCUUAUGAUGGUCUUCUUGCUAGGGGAACCCCAGAAUGGCACAGGACAUCAAAUGGCAAUAUCAGAGACUUUGCAUGGUGUCUCCUGUAAAGUCACUCACAAGGCUCCACUCAAGUGUCCCUGCCUAACCCUAAUCAUCUCCCAAAGGCCAACCUCAAAUACCAUGCUCAUAUUAAAUUCUGCCCUCUUCUGUUUUCUUUUGGGGGCCUUGGAUUGAACCCGGAGCCUCACAUUCCCCUAUCCAUGUUCCCAGAUGAGUUUCCACCCUCUCGAUACUACAUGAUGGGGAUUAAAUUUGGACCUAGAAACCCUUGCAGGAUGCAGACCAGGUCCGAACCAUAGCAGUGACCUGGUCUCACGGGGUACAGCAUUACUAGAUCAGACAGUAGCUAAGGCAGUCACUGGGGCCACUAGGCUGGCUAACUUCUAGGGUGGAGGCCAGAGCCACUGCCUCUGUGUGGAAGGUGAGCAGGUGAGAAGAGAGAUAGACAGUCACUUUGGGAAAUAGUUAGCCAUGGUCUCAGCACGCUCCUGAAGGGAACAGUGAGGAAGGCUGAGAAGGAUCUGUCCCAGGCUGCAGACAGUGCCACAGGAGGGGGAGGUGGGCCAGGUGGAUUUUACUUUUGUAUAAAUUAUGGAAGUUUUUCUGUGCUGAGAGAGCAUGUGUAUUAUCUUGUUUGUUUGAAGUGAAAUGAGAGAAAAACAAAGGAAAUUCAGUGUAAGUUUUUACGAGAGAAGGGUUUGAAGGACUGGGGACAGGUAGCUCAACCGGACACUGCACGCUCAGUAAGCAGGAAGACCGUACACAAACCCAGAACAUCAAAACAUAGGAAUAAAAGGGUUUAGCCAGAGCAGUGGUGACACAUGCCUUUAAUCCCAGCACUUGGGAGACAGAGGCAGGUGAAUCUCUGAGUUCAAGGCUAGCCUGGUCAACAGACUGAGUUCCAGAACAGUCAGAGACACACAGAGAAACCCUAUCUUGAAAAAGAGAAACUUUGUUUAAUUAAAAAACUAAAAACUAAAAAUAAAUGUCAAGUGUUGGUGACAGUUUAAUCCCAGUACUCAAGAGCCAGAGGCAGGCAGAUUUCUGUGAAUUUGAGGCCAGCCUGCUCUACAUAGUAAGUCCCAGGUCACCCAGGACUAGUCAGUGAGACCCUGUCUCAGAAGAAUAAUUUUUUCUACAUUUUCUACAUUUAUCUACUUUGUAUGCAUGCUAGAAUGAGCAGCUGAAGGAGCUCAAAGGACAACUUUCAGUUCUUUCCUUCACUAUGUGGAUUCUGGAGAUGCAACUAAGGUGGUCCGGUUACACACUGAGCCAUCUCACUGUCUCCACAGUAAGACCUCACUCCAGAAAUAUAAAAUAAAAACUACUGCAAUCAAACUUAAAUGCCUUCAUUAAAUUCGGGUGCAUCAUGCAGCAUUUCUCAAACGUACUAGCCCCAGAAAUGUUAGACUUUUUUUUAAUGUUUGUUUUUGGAGACAGGGUUCCUCUGGGUAGCCCUGGCUGUCCCGGAACUCAGUCUGUGGAACAGGCUGGGAUUAAAGCUGUGCAUCAUCACUGCCCAGCUUACUUUUAUUUUUUGAGACAAGGUCUGACUUAUUUAUCCCAGGCUGGGCCUUGACCUCAGGGUGUCUCUGAGGGUGACCUUGACCUCCUGACUCCCUUACCUCCACCUUCCCAGCACGGCCAACACAGACGAAAAUAACUUACUACAUUGUUUGCUUUUUAGGACUUUUCCUAGCAGCCCACAGCGUGUGAUUCAUCGGGCCCCUUCUCUGGCAGCCAGGGCAGGGAGCUCUGCAGGGACUCUCUCCGCUGUCUGUGAUGACCGAGGCCUAAAGGCAUCUGCGGCAGCACGUGCGAAGCUUCCUGUUACACUUGUCUUCUUUCUUCCUUUAUUAUGGGUUUAUUUAUUUUAUUGUUGUGUAUCUGGAUAUUUCACCUCUGUGUACGUCUGUGCAAUGUGUGUGUGCUGUGCCUCAGAGGCUGCAAGAGGGCAUAGGAUCCUCGGGACAGGGGUUGUGAGCUGCCGUCCGAGUGCUGGGAGCCUCAUCUGAGGCUUCGGUAAGUAUUCUUUUUAAUGUAUGUGAAUACACUGUCGCUGUCCUCAGACACACCAGAAGAGGUCAUCGGAUCCCGUUACAGAUGGUUGUGAGCCACCAUGUGGUUGCUGGGAAUUGAACUCAGGACCUCUGGAAGAGCAGUCAGUGCUCUUAACAGCUGAGCCGUCUCUCCAGCCCCAAGUAAAUACUCUUAACCGCUGAGCCAGCGCUCCAGGACACACUGGUUUUUCUUGAGUUUGACAGAUUUGCUUUCUUUCUUUUUUUUCCUGGCCGAGAGUCCUUGAUGACCUCAGUUUUCUAUGGCCUGGUGUUUUAGUCAGAGUUAUCUGGAGCAGCAGAACCAAGGGGAUAUAUACAACUAUAUACAUAACUCAGAAUUUAUUAACUGAGUCUUAAAAUAGUAACCACAGCCAAAUCACAUGUCCGAUGCUGAAAUCCUGGGAGGUGCCUAUCAUUGAGGCUGGCUGCCUUCCAGCUAGAGUCUCUCACUAGGAGGUGGCCACAGACAGUCACAGCAGUGGUAACAAAGCUAGCUGAGGCCAGCCUGGUCUACAAAGUGAGUUCUAAGACAGCCAGGAAAGCCUCCCCCGCCUCCCCCAGAAACAGUAUUAUUAGGAAAAUAAAUUAAAAUAAAAAUAAAGUUUUUGUCCUGGUAGUUGGGUGGCUCAGCAGGUAAAAGUAAGUACUCGCUGCCAAGUCUGGUGACCUAAGUUCAAUUCCUGUGACCCACAUGGUAGAGAGAAUUGAUCCUCACAAGUUGUACUCUGACCUGACAGAAGUCUGCCUCCCUGAUCCUUCCCCAGCUUAAAAAAGAAAAGAAAAAGAGAGUUGGAAGAGGGCUAUGCUGGAGAGAUGGUUCAGUGGUUAGGAACGCUGGCUGCUCAAUUCCCAGCCCCACUUGGUGGCUCCCAACCCUCUGUUACUCCGGCUUCGGAGGAUCUGUCUCCCCCUGCUGGCCCUCAAAGGCACUGUGGUACAUUUACAUACACACAGGUAAAACCUCCAACUCUUUAAAAAUAAGGAAAGGUCCUGGUUUGUUUCUGUCAACUUGAUACAAACUAGAGUCAUCCGGGAAGAGGAAUUUCAGUUCAGAAAACUUCUGCAUCAGAUUGGCCUGUAAGGCAUUUUCUUUUUUCUUUUUUCUUUAUUUAUUUUAUUUAUACAAGUACACUGUAGCUGUCUUCAUGCACACCAGAAGAGGGCAUUGGAUCCCAUUUACAGAUGAUUGUGAGCCACCAUGUGGUUGCUGGGAAUUGAACUCAGGACCUCUGGAAGAGCAGCUAAUGCUCUUAACCACUGAGCCAUCUCUCCAGCCCCUGUAAGGCAUUUUCUUAAUUGAUAAUUGCUGUGGAAGACUCAGCCCACUGUAGGUGCUGUCCCUGGGCAGGUGGCCCUAGGUACUGUAAGAAAGUAGCCUAGCAAGGCAUAAGGAACAAGCCAGCAGGUCGUGUCCCCCCACAAUUCCUUAGUCUCCGAUUAGUUCGUGUCUCCAGAUUAUUGCCUUAAGUCCCAUCAGUGAUGGGUUAUAAACUGUAUAAUGUAAUAAACUCUUUCCUCCUUUGCUUGGCAUUUGGCCACAGCGAUAGUAAGAAAACAAAGACGACAAGCCAUUUAAUUUUUAUUUAUUAGUGUAUUAGAUUAUUUAUUUAUUUAUUUAUUUAUUUAUUUAUUUAUUUAUGAUUUUUCAAGACAGGGUUUCUUUGUAUACCCCUGGCUGCCCAGGGCCUUGAACUCAUGGAGAUCCACCUGCCUCUUCCUUCCAAGUACUGGGACUAAAGGAAUGUGCCACCACCCAGUCAAUUUUUUUAAACCAAGGAAAACAACAAAAGCAAAGGCUUAUUGAAGUAUAAUUUGAAUGCCAUAAUAUUCAGCCCUUUAAAAUGUACAGUCUAGUGGUUCUCUCUGUUUAUGAGCCAUUUCCACUAUCCAAUUACAGGAAAAUAAACACACACAUUUUCCCCCAGUGUCCAGUCAAACCCAGCACCAUAAGUUAGGCUGGUAAUCACACUGAGCCACUGAGCUCCAGUCUUGCACGGCCUCCUGACACAGACACUACGUAACUUAGGCUGCCCUUCUGCUCCUCCUGCCUCGGUCUCCAGUACUGGUGAGAUUGCAGACUUGCACCACUGUGGCCAACUCUAAUUAUAAAAUAUUUUCAUCAUUCCCCAUGCCCUAGGUCCGUUCUUUUCCUCAGUGACUUGUCAUUGACUCUCUUUUGGUGUCACGGCUGUCUGCCUUGGCUAUCUCAGAUGGCAGAUCUGACAUGUGGCUGUCCGGGCUGACUUGAUUUGUGUGUCAAGCUUUGUCUGUACUUCAGAACCCUGCUGCUUUUGACGGCUACCUCCCCACUGUGUGGACAGCUCUCCUGGAGUUUAUCCAGGUUAUCAGUUGGUGGAUAUUUGGAGCUUUUACAAACAAUGCUGACAUCAAUGAAAACAAACCUUUAAAAAGAGUGUUGAAAACAUAUUCACACAAAAGUCUUUUGUAAGCAUUCUAGUGUCUUGCCUGCAUGUACUUAUGUGCCUGGUAUCUUGCAGGCCAGAAGCGGGUACCAGCUCUCCUGGAACUGGAGCUACCAAUGUUUGUGAGCCACCAUGUGUGUGCUGAGAACUGAACUCAGGUCCCCUAGAAGAGCAGCCAGUGCAUUUAACCCCUGAAUUUUAUCUUUUUUUUUUUAAAGAUUUUUAUUUAUUUUACGUAUGUGAGUACACUGUAGAGUGAGUACACUGUAGCUGUCUUCAGACACACCAGAGGAAGGCAUCAGAUCUCAUUACAGAUGGUUGCAAGCCACCAUGUGGUUGCUGGGAAUUGACCUCUGGAAGAGCAGUCGGAGCUCUUAACCACUGAGCCAUCUCUCCAGCCCAAACCCUGAAUUUUAAAUCUCACUUAAAAUAUUUGUCUUUCCAGACAGGGUUUCUCUGUGUAGCUGACUGUUAUCCUGGAGGUGGUGUUAUAGAGUAGGAUAGCCUCAAACAUGAACUUUUGAUUCCUCUGCCUUCAGAUGCUGGGGUUACAGCUGUACACCUCCACAUCUGGUUUUAUGCAGUGCUGGGAAUCAGAGUGUUGUGCUUGCCAGACAGGCUCCCUACUAGCUGAGCUCUAGCCCUAGUCUGUUUUCUUUUCUUUUCUUUUUUUUUAAUAUUUUAUUUAUUUAUUAUAUAUAUGAGUACACUGUAGCUGUCUUCAGACACACCAGAAGAGGGCAUCAGAUCUCAUUACAGAUGGUUGUGAGCCACCAUGUGGUCGCUGGGAUUUGAACUCAGGACCUCGGGAAGAGCAGUCGGUGCCCUUAACCACUGAGCCAUCUCUCCAGCCCUUCUUUUUUUUUUUUUUUUUUCUUUUUUUCUUUUUUUCAGAGCUGGGGACCGAACCCAGGGCCUUGCGCUUGCUAGGCAAGCGCUCUACCACUGAGCUAAAUCCCCAACCCCCUGUUUUCUUCUAAGAGUUCUAUGGUUAUUUUUUUUUCCAUUUAGAUCCCAUGAACCACACUGAAUUUUUUUUUCCCAACACUGAGGAGGCUAAGACAGGAAGAUCACAAGUUCAAGGACAUACAUAGGACAGCUUGUACUAUGUAGUGAGACUCUGUCUCAAAAAACAGCAUCUGUGGGCUGGAGAGAUGGUUCUCAAAAAAAGGACACAAGUAAAGAUUAAAGAGAACUGAGCGGGGUUGGGAAUUUAGCUCAGUGGUAGAGCGCUUGCCUAGCAAGCGAAAGGUCCUGGGUUUGGUCCCCAGCUCCGGAAAAAAAAAAGACAAAAAAAAAAAAAAAAAAAAAAGAGAGAGAGAGAGAGAGAGAGAGAGAGAACUGAGGGUGGAAAAGCUGGACAUGGCUCAGCGGUUAAGAGCACUGACUUUCCUUGCAGAGGUCUUGAGUUCAAAUCCCAGCAACCAUAUGGUGGCUCACAACCAUCUGAAAUGGGAUCUGAUGCUCUUUCUGUUGUGUCUGAAGACAGCUACAGUGUACUCAUACACAUGGAAUAAAUAAUUAUUUUUUUUUUAAAAAAAAUCAGCAUUUGCAUAUUGUGUAUGACAGGGGUGUAGGGCUCAAUGCUACCUUUUUCUAAAAGUGUGAAGUCCUGGUCUUUCUGAGGACCAUCUUCUAAGUCACCACCUUUCCCUUGCAGGGAUUCAGCCUAAGAACUUGAGUAUCCUAGAUAAUUGCCUGACCACAGAGCCACUAAGUUAUAUUUUGUUUUUUGUCUGAGAUGGGGUCUUGUUUACCCACACUACACUGUGGAGUGCAGUAAAGACUGGUCUUGAAUAUGCUGCCUCUCCGUCCUGUGCAGAGAUGACAGGUGUACGCCAUCAUGCCUGGAAUAGAAUACUUUUUCUGCCAGCAGGCACUUUGUAUUUAAGUUUCUGAUACUCCCACCCACAAAGGCUCUGUAUGUCAAACUGGGCCUUGGAAGUCAGGCCCAAGUGAAUUGCCUUGAGCUUACUGGGGACUGUUAGCAGAAGAGGGAGUGUGGCCGGGAAGGGAUGGAGGGAGACAGUGAUGGAGUCCUGUGAUGCCCUUACAGCUUAGCUGUUGUGACAUUUCUCCGCGUGGUAUGUGUGGCUGAGCUCGUGACUGGUGCGUAUUUGUGGGGGUGGGGGUGUGGUCCUGCAGCAGGACAGUGUCAGAGCCACUUGGUGAGUGUGAGGUUUUUAACAUGCCUACAACGGAGCAUGCAGAGAGACUCAGAUCCUGGUACAUUUCACUGUCACCCAGGGCGAGGCAGCACUUGAAGUUUUUGCUGUGACAUGUCAAGGGGGAGGAGGCUUUGAGUGAGAUUGAAUGUGACAACGACACAGAUACUGGGUGACAGAAUGGAACAGAGCAGAGGCAGGCAGGCUGUGCCAGGAAAAUGUGGACACCCAAGAGAUGCCACAGAGUGUCAGGCAGGUGUCCACUGUCCCAUUCCCCACAGGCAGGCCUUGGUAAAUUCCUGAAAGCAGGGAAACUUUCUCUUGGAAAGGGGACAUGGGCUGGAGAGAUGGCUCAGUGGUUAAGAGCACUGACAGCUCUUCCAGAGGUCCUGAGUUCAAAUCCCAGCAACUACAUAGUGGCUCACAACAAUCUGUAAUGGCAUCUGAUGCCCUCUUCUGGUGUGGCUGAGGACAGCCACAGUAUAUUUAUAUACAUAAAAUAAAUAAAUCUUUAAAAAAAAUAAAGGGGGACAUAA